rnacentral:rRNA from 1 species
GAUGAACGCUGGCGGCGUGCCUAAUACAUGCAAGUCGAGCGAACAGACGAGGAGCUUGCUCCUCUGACGUUAGCGGCGGACGGGUGAGCAACACGUGGAUAACCUACCUAUAAGACUGGGAUAACUUCGGGAAACCGGAGCUAAUACCGGAUAAUAUAUUGAACCGCAUGGUUCAAUAGUGAAAGACGGUUUUGCUGUCACUUAUAGAUGGAUCCGCGCCGCAUUAGCUAGUUGGUAAGGUAACGGCUUACCAAGGCGACGAUGCGUAGCCGACCUGAGAGGGUGAUCGGCCACACUGGAACUGAGACACGGUCCAGACUCCUACGGGAGGCAGCAGUAGGGAAUCUUCCGCAAAGGGCGAAAGCCUGACGGAGCAACGCCGCGUGAGUGAUGAAGGUCUUCGGAUCGUAAAACUCUGUUAUUAGGGAAGAACAAAUGUGUAAGUAACUAUGCACGUCUUGACGGUACCUAAUCAGAAAGCCACGGCUAACUACGUG